CCAUCCAUCACACCCGACUGGUGCAGUGUCACCCUGGAGUGCCACGCCCCGGGAACCAGAGAGGACGUGAAUGUGUCCUGGGAGAGCAAGGGCCUCCCCAGGCAGCUGGAGCAGAGAGGGGUCCCAGGACCGGCCCCCAACCCCUGGACCGUGGCUCUGAAGCUGCCCCUGAGCCAGCCCAGCCCCAGCAUCACCUGUGUGGUCAGCAACCCGGGGGACCGGAAAACUGCCACCCGGGACCUUGGGGAAGUCUGUGGCCACGGUCCACAUGGGCCGGACGGGUCUGCCCACCUGCCAGCUAUCCUGGGGGCUCUUGUGGUCGUGCUGCUGAUCCUCGGAGCUGGACUGUACCUUCUGUGCUCGCGUAGGAGGAAGCAGAGCUUGGAGCCUGGGAGAGGCAGGGUCCCAGGAAGAGCACAGGGACCAUGAUGAUGGCGUCCAGUAUGCAGAGCUGAGCCAGCAGACUUCCAGGGAGAACAGGGACCAGGGUUCGGGGGAACCACAUCUCGAACAGGAGACACCGCUCACGACAGUCUACAGUGAGGUCCGCCACCCAGGCCAGGGCUUGAGGGUGAUUUAACUGGAAGAAGCAGGGAAUCCAGCCUCCCCCCCGACACCUCUGUUGUGCGCGUGAUGCCUGCGGCCCUGGUCCUGCCCCCUCCCCCUCUGACUGCUCUCAGCAGGGACCGGAUUCAUCCAACCUCCGUGAAUCUCUAUGCGGACACGUUGUGCCCAAGUUGAGCAGAAGACACACAUCGCGGCAGAUGGAGGGGGACCUUCGUCGUUAAACGAGUCCAAAGCUGUGGUCCGGUUCUGCUCAGCCUCAGCCCCUUUGGCAACCGUCAACGGAGCCCACUCUCCCCACGUCUGUGCCCCGUCCGUCAUCCUGUCCGGACCCUCUGCCUCUGGGACCCAUCGACAUGAAGUCUCAACUUCUAGCCUCGACCGGUUCACCACCAGCCGGCUCAGUCUGUGCUUGAGAGCUGUGUAAAGAGAAUACAAAGUCGCACAGCCAGGGCUCGC